CAGCGCUCAGAAUCGUCAACAGCUCAACAGUAGAGACGCAGCAGCAGCAGCGCUCAUAGGAGCCGAGCAGAGACUACGAGAAGGGGACGUGUAGGCGGGGCCAGAUCAGACCAAGCCACGCCCACCAGGAGCUUCAGGGAUUUAAAGCCCAGCAGUCAGUAGAUUAGAUGUUUUGAAUGGAGGCUUCAUAAUACUCUACGGUGCUGCCACAGCGCUGCUGAAGGAUUGUAAAUGACGGACGAGGCAUGGCCAAUUAAACCUGCUAGCAAGGUUACUUGUACUGCAUGAUUCCAUCAGGCUGGGAGGGUGACGCCAACACGUUUUCUCAGAGGCAGAAGAAGCGGCACUGCAUCUUUUCAAACAGCUGCUAACAGAAUGACAUUAGACAGCUCAGUAUGCUUGGAAGGGAGUGCUAACUGCCAAUUUCGUUACUUUAACUGACAGACACAGAGAGGUCAGUUAUGCUCUCUAGGACUUCCGGCCACAGAUUGCACACACACA